CAAAUAAAGUAUACUUCCUUUGCUUGACUUGAAAGUUUACAAAGUUAUCAAUAUAUAUAUAAUAGAGCUAGUCUUUCAAAUUGUGGCAUCAUGAAAAGGUGAGUUUUGGGCAAGAUGGAGAAGCAGGGUACGUGCUUUACUAACUCAUGCAUUAUAGUCUCUAAGAUUAGUUAGAGUCGCGUGUAAUCUUUUAAAAAAACUUUUUAUUUAUCUAUACGUAGACGUGUAGAUUCGAGAUUAAAAUUUGAUGUUUAUCAUUCAAUCCGUUGCAUUGUAGAUUUAGAAUCUAAUAUUUUUAGACAUUUUAGUAAGUAAUAUUGUACAUGUAUAUCAAACUCGUUAAAUGUAUGGUGCGUCUAUAUCUCUCUAUAUACACAAUUUGAUCAAAAGUAAUAUGUUAAAUUAAACUCACAAUACCGUUCUGAAAUCUUAUGCAAUUUGACUAAACAUGGAGUUCCUAAGAAAUAUGAGAAAAAUUUACCAUGUUACAAAAAUUACCUUUUUUAAAGAAGAAUACACUUUGUAGACUUUUCGUCAAAUAAAUGCGACCCAAUAUAGAUAAAAUGUUUAUAAUGUCAUUAAACAGUUGUCAAAUAAGAAAAUAUAUCGUUCUUGAUUAAAUAAAAAAAUGUAUCACGUAAAUUGAGACGGAAAAAUAAUUCUAAUAUAUGUUGUUCCAUGAGUUAAAUGAGUUAGUUCUUCAUGUGCCCAUCUUCCCCAUCGUGACCACUCAACCUUAUUCUCUUUACAAAGCAUUUGCAACUCGCUCUUCUCCAUAUUGACAAGCCAGUGUUGAAAGCCUCGUGAAACUGAGAUAUGAAGACAAAAGACGACAAAUCUGACUGCUAAAAUGGACAAUAGUUCCCUUGUUUUUUUUCACUUUUGGCUAAUAAACUUUAGUAUAUAAAUUGUCGUAUUUUGGGCAUUUCAAGUAUUUUUAUUUUCCGUUUCA